rnacentral:lncRNA from 8 species
AAAGAUUCAUCACUACCAACAGCCUCAUCAUCCCAGGACUAGGAAUCUCUCUAGCAGUGUUGACACAGUCUGCAGAAAUGGGACUGCAGACUCUGACAUGUGCUGCGUAAGACACGGGUUUAAAUGAAUUCUCUCUGCACAUGCCAUGCCGUUUGUGGGAUUAUAGUAAAGGCUGGAUGUAAUGAAGUCUGUCUAUAAGAGAGGUUCAUUUGAUGCCGACUCUAAACCAUUAGAGGAUUCUGUGAAACCAGCACAAAGGCCGCAUAGCCUAAACAAGACUGUCAGCCCAUAUACAGACGAUACAACUUUGAAUCAUCAUCAUCAACAACAUCACAAGCAGGAGCUGACGCAACAGAACAACACAAAAGGGAAACUGUUUCAUCAGAAGAACAUCGCUCUUAUACACAAACUACCAAAAACUAGAGAUUUGCUGCAGAUGAGUUCGCAUUCACUGUAACAAAUUGCUGUAAAUUUACAGCAAAACAUUUAGUUAGCUAUGGUAAUUCUAUAUUACAGUACAGUACUUUAAAGAUCAAUGCAUUAUGAGGGCUCAAUGGCAUUCCACUACACUACUGUACAAUUGCUGUAAUUUUACAGCAGCGCCAUGGUAAAAUGUUGUGGGCGGAGAAAUAAUUUGUCUCAUUAACAUAUUUGGAGUCGUGCCUUGUAAGAGGCUAUAUU